rnacentral:rRNA from 1 species
UACAGAGGGGGCAAGCGUUGUUCGGAAUUACUGGGCGUAAAGGGCGCGUAGGUGGCCUUCUAAGUUGAACGUGAAAUCCCUGGGCUCAACCCAGGAACUGCGUCCAAGACUGGGAGGCUUGAAUCCGGGAGAGGGAUGCGGAAUUCCAGGUGUAGCGGUGAAAUGCGUAGAUAUCUGGAGGAACACCGGUGGCGAAGGCGGGUAGCUGGGCCGACACUGACGCUGAGGCGCGAAAGCCAGGGGAGCGAACGGG